rnacentral:rRNA from 1 species
UGGGGAAUCUUGCGCAAUGGGCGAAAGCCUGACGCAGCAACGCCGCGUGAGCGAAGAAGGCCUUCGGGUUGUAAAGCUCUGUCAGGAGGGACGAAGCCACUCGGGUGAACAGCCCAGAGGGUGACGGUACCUCCAGCGGAAGCCCCGGCUAACUACGUGCCAGCAGCCGCGGUAAUAAGUAGGGGGCGAGCGUUGUCCGGCAUCAUUGGGCGUAAAGCGCGUGUAGGCGGCUUGGCAAGUCUGGGGUGAAAGCUCGAGGCUCAACCUCGAGUCUGUACCGGAAACUGCCGGGCUAGAGUCCGGAAGAGGAGACUGGAAUUCCUGGUGUAGCGGUGAAAUGCGCAGAUAUCAGGAAGAACACCGGUGGCGAAGGCGGGUCUCUGGGACGGUACUGACGCUGAGACGCGAAAGCGUGGGGAGCAAACA